GAUGAACGCUGGCGGCGUGCCUAAUACAUGCAAGUCGAGCGAACAGACGAGGAGCUUGCUCCUCUGACGUUAGCGGCGGACGGGUGAGUAACACGUGGAUAACCUACCUAUAAGACUGGGAUAACUUCGGGAAACCGGAGCUAAUACCGGAUAAUAUAUUUACCCGCAUGGUUCAAUAUUGAAAGACGGUUUUGCUGUCACUUAUAGAUGGAUCCGCGCCGCAUUAGCUAGUUGGUAAGGUAACAGCUUACCAAGGCAACGAUGCGUAGCCGACCUGAGAGGGUGAUCGGCAACACUGGAACUGAGACACGGUCCAGACUCCUACGGGAGGCAGCAGUAGGGAAUCUUCCGCAAUGGGAGAAAGCCUGACGGAGCAAAGCCGCGUGAGUGAUGAAGGUAUUCGGAUAGUAAAACUCUGUUAUUAGGGAAGAACAAAUGUGUAAGUAACGAUGCACGUCUUGACGGUACCUAAUCAGAAAGCCACGGCUAACUACGUG
rnacentral:rRNA from 1 species